UUCAAUCGAUAAAUUAUUUUCUGGGUGCUUUUUAACCUAUCAAGCUCCAUAAGGACACCGGUGACCGCGACAACAAUAGAAUAACAAUAGAUUUACAAGAAUCCGCGAUCGAAGGAUAU